rnacentral:rRNA from 1 species
UACGGAGGGUGCAAACGUUGCUCGGAAUCACUGGGCGUAAAGCGCACGUAGGCGGAUUGUUAAGUCGAGGGAUGAACUCCUGGAGCUCAACUCCAGAACUGUCCUUUGAUACUGGCGAUCUCGAGUCCGGGAGAGGUGAGUGGAACUCCUAGUGUAGAGGUGGAAUUCGUAGAUAUUAGGAAGAACACCAGUGGCGAAGGCGGCUCACUGGCUCGGUACUGACGCUGAGGUGCGAAAGCGUGGGGAGCAAACAGG